rnacentral:rRNA from 1 species
UACGUAGGGUGCGAGCGUUAAUCGGAAUUACUGGGCGUAAAGGGUGCGCAGGCGGUUCUGCAAGUCAGGCGUGAAAUCCCCGGGCUUAACCUGGGAAUGGCGCUUGAAACUACGGGACUGGAGUAUGGCAGAGGGAGGUGGAAUUCCACGUGUAGCGGUGAAAUGCUUAGAUAUGACAUAGAACACCAAUUGCGAAGGCAGCUCACUACGCGAAUAUUGACACUGAGGCACGAAAGCGUGGGGAUCAAACAGG